rnacentral:rRNA from 1 species
GACAGAGGAGCCAAGCGUUGUCCGGAUUGACUGGGCGUAAAGCGCACGCAGGCGGCUGUGCACGUGGGGUGUGAAAGCUGGCGGCUUAACUGCCAGACGCCACCUCAUACGGCACGGCUCGAGCCCGUGAGAGGUCCACGGAGUUGCCGGUGUAGUGGUGAAAUGCGUAGAGAUCGGCAGGAACACCCAGGGGGAAACCAGUGGACUGGCACGGUGCUGACGCUCAGGUGCGAAAGCGUGGGGAGCGAACCGA